rnacentral:rRNA from 1 species
AGAGUUUGAUCCUGGCUCAGGAUGAACGCUAGCGGCAGGCUUAAUACAUGCAAGUCGAGGGGCAGCAGGGAUAGCAAUAUUCGCUGGCGACCGGCGCACGGGUGCGUAACACGUAUACAAUCUGCCUUUUACUGGGGGAUAGCCUUUCGAAAGAGAGAUUAAUACCCCGUAAUAAAUUGAACGGCAUCGUUUGAUUUUGAAAGCUCCGGCGGUUUGAGAUGAGUAUGCGUCUGAUUAGCUAGUUGGUGAGGUAACGGCUCACCAAGGCGACGAUCAGUAGGGGAUCUGAGAGGACUAACCCCCACACUGGUACUGAGACACGGACCAGACUCCUACGGGAGGCAGCAGUAAGGAAUAUUGGUCAAUGGAGGCAACUCUGAACCAGCCAUGCCGCGUGCAGGAUGACGGCCCUAUGGGUUGUAAACUGCUUUUAUACAAGAGAAAACCCUGGUACGUGUACCAGGUUGAUAGUAUUGUAAGAAUAAGCAUCGGCUAACUUCGUG